rnacentral:rRNA from 1 species
AAUGAACGUUGGCGGCGCGGAUUAGGCAUGCAAGUCGUGCGAUAACCCCGCAAGGGGGGAAAGCGGCGAAAGGGAGAGUAACGCGUGGGUACCUGCCACUUGGUCCGGACUAGCUGCGGGAAACUGCAGGUAAUGCCGGAUAAUAUUCUCGGAUCAAAGGUGUGCUUCCGCCGAGGGAGGGGCCCGCGUUCUAUUAGCUAGUUGUUAGGGUAAUGGCCUACCAAGGCGACGAUGGCCACCGGGUGUGAGAGCAUGACCCGGCUCACUGGGACUGAGACACUGCCCAGACACCUACGGGUGGCUGCAGUCGAGAAUCUUCGGCAAUGGGCGCAAGCCUGACCGAGCGACGCCGCGUGCGGGAUGAAGGCCUUCGGGUUGUAAACCGCUGUCGUAGAGGAGGAAAUGCCAUGGGGUUCUCUCCAUGGUUUGACCUAGUCUAGGAGGAGGGACGGGCUAAGUUCGUGCCAGCCGCCGCGGUAA